rnacentral:rRNA from 1 species
GACGAACGCUGGCGGCGUGGAUUAGGCAUGCAAGUCGGACGGUAGGGCUUUAUCGUAAGAUAGAGUUUGAGAGUGGCGAACGGGUGAGUAACACGUAGGAAUCUACCCUUAAGACGGGGACAACCCAGGGAAACUUGGGCUAAUACCGGAUGAGAGUGCGAGAGAUUGCAUUUAAAAGGAUGGCGAAAGUUGUCGCUUAGGGAUGAGCCUACGGUCUAUUAGUUAGUUGGUGAGGUAAGAGCUCACCAAGGCGAUGAUAGAUAGGCGGCCUUAACGGGUGGUCGCCCACACUGGGAUUGAGAUACGGCCCAGACUCCUACGGGAGGCAGCAGUCGAGAAUAGUCUACAAUGGCCGGAAGGCUGAUAGUGCGACGCCGCGUGAACGAGGGAGCCCUUCGGGUGUAAGUCUUUUAUAUGUGAGCAGUGCUUCUUAUAUUAACAGUAUGGGGAGAGAGAUAUUAGCAUAUGAAUAAGCAACGGCUAACUCCGUGCCAGCAGCCGC